rnacentral:rRNA from 1 species
UGAGGAAUAUUGGGCAAUGGGCGCAAGCCUGACCCAGCCAUGCCGCGUGCAGGAAGAAUGCCCUAUGGGUUGUAAACUGCUUUUAUUUAGGAAUAAACCCCUUUACGUGUAGAGGGCUGAAUGUACUAAACGAAUAAGCACCGGCUAACUCCGUGCCAGCAGCCGCGGUAAUACGGAGGGUGCAAGCGUUAUCCGGAAUCAUUGGGUUUAAAGGGUCCGCAGGCGGAUGUAUAAGUCAGUGGUGAAAUCCUGCAGCUUAACUGCAGAACUGCCAUUGAUACUGUACAUCUUGAAUUCGGUCGAAGUGGGCGGAAUGUGUAGUGUAGCGGUGAAAUGCAUAGAUAUUACACAGAACACCGAUAGCGAAGGCAGCUCACUAGGCCUGGAUUGACGCUCAGGGACGAAAGCGUGGGGAUCAAACAGG